rnacentral:rRNA from 1 species
UGUGAACCAGCGGAGGGAUCAUU